AAGACAAUAUUAUGUUCCACUGAGAGGUUAAGAACAUAUCUACCUGGGUGAAAGGUGCCUGAGAUACUAGUUUAUAGGACUGACACAUCUCAACAAACUAAUUCAGAAAGUUCAAGGAUCUAAAAGAUCUUCAUUCGGGACUCAACAUUGAUCAGAAUGGUCCAGGUUACAGAGGUGCUGGUCUUUCUCUGCGUCCUGAUUGGAUGGUCACAGGCUUUUCCACAUCAUGAUGUCUUCACAGAGAAUGAAGCAAACAAAAAUGCCGGCAAAACAGAGAUAGAAAGACGAGAUCUGACUGUGCUGGAUUUUACUCCUCCAUAGUGUCGCGCCGUCAAUAUGAGUGCACUUUGUCGUUCCUUUGAUUAUCACGAUGAACUGAAAGUGUCUUAUAUCGUGACAGAUGUUGAUGGCUCAGGAAUCGAUCACAUCCGUGUUUUUGGCAAUGACCCCAUGUGUUUAAUCAACACAAAAGAAUAUAACGGUCUAGACGACAAUCGCAACGCUGCGACCAUCCUUUAUUUUUCCAGCAGCUGCUGCUAUGAUGAUGUGGUGAUUCUUGCGGUGGACAAGGCAGGACACACAAGCAAGUGUCCUCCUGCUCUACAACGUGUUACCACAACCAUCACACCCACAUCCACUAGCUCCAUCACAACCAGCUCUCUUCGGUUGACUUCAAUACUGAUCACACUUAAAUCCAUGCUUCUCUAAGACGGACGUGCACUUUAAGUAGCCUACGUCACUUCGUUUUUACACUUGUGAUUACAAUUAUUUCCACACAUUUUCAAAAUACAUUUAAAUCACUUGAUGUCACUAUUAAAUGUUCACCCAAAAAUGACAGCUUGAUGUUUAUCUGCUUACAACGCAUUCAAGAUGUUUCUUUUAUAUAUAUAUAUACACACACAGAGAUUUAUUUGUAGAUCCUUGCCUAUGCAUAUGUGCCAGAGCCCAUUGUUGUGAAUGAUUUCAAGACAAUUGGACAUUGUGGUGUAUUAGAGGUACAUAAAUAUCAUUCAGUUUCCUGCACAAUCUGACCUCAAUGUAUUAUCACAAGCAGCAGGGUUUAAUUUGGAUUUGUUUGUGCAGGUUUGUUUUUACUCAGAUUGUGUACCAAUUGACUUACAUUAUAUGACUGACAGAUGACUUGCUCUAUUUUAUGGUAAAUAAAUGUUGUUUCUGAUCAAAGAGAGAAAUUAA